ensembl:lncRNA
AACCCUAAUGAAGCAGAGUCUCUUCUUAACCACUGUCUAUACUAAAGGUAAUUUAAAACAGGGUGCAGACAACAGGAAAGCAACAACUCUGGUUUGGUCACCGUGGUGGUCUUGCCCGGCACAUGGUGGGAGUCCAGCCAGAGCUGAUGGCCUCCUCUUCCCUCCUGACUAUUCAUCUGCUUCCACUCCAGGAGCACCACAGGCAUCUCCCCUGAUGCAGGGUAAAUUGCAGAAGCCGUGGUACCAGCCCGCAUCCAUGACCCCACAGAUAUUCCCCUUCUCCAAGUGGACUGACCCAGGCCUUUUACAAACACAGAAGGAUCUUGUGCAAGAUGAAUUCUAGUACUAGCUACUAAAAGAUCUCUUCACACAAAAGGCAAUAUUCCUGAAUUUGUAUUGGUCCAGGCAUUCGAGAAUCAAGAUCACAGGUUUGUGCAACAAGAGGGCUAAUGCCGACAUCUUCCUUUCUGGAGAAAUGGAAUGACUCAGAAUCCAGAUGUUUCGCCUAGCCCUGCAUUUGUAAUUAAGAGCUGACGGUGGCAGUUCCCAGGGAGUCUUUGAAUCAUCUCUUCUUAUAUUUGCUCUUUUUAGAACAAUCUAGGACAUGUCAGCUGAAAAAAAAAAAAAAAAGUUGCUUGCCAAGAGAGAAUGACUUUUUAUGUGGGGGUGGGGACACCGAGUUCUUUUUCCCCCUCUCUGCAGGGGAACACAGUGGAGAGAAUGAGCUAAUGAUUCUCAGAGAAAUAAGUGCGUGCUCAUGAACUCAGAUACCUGGAGAACUUCAUGAAAUGUAGGCCGUUUCAUGUAACUUUUCCCUUUAGUCCUGGCGUGUAUACAAUGAUGAAGAGACGAUCAUUUCACUUUAAUGAACAAAUGCUAGCACAAAAGAGCUGAACCAGAGAAACUUGAAUUUGCGGGCAGCCGCAUGAAGUAAAAAUAAACUCGCUACCUAUUGUGAAAUCAUUUUGGGUGCAGUGUGCCCCAGGACGGUGUCACUCCUGGUUCUUCUUUUUCCCAUCCACGUAAGAGUGUCCUCGUCCAAGCCGACUCUGGAUUUAAAUAAACAGAUGAUUUAUUUAGAUAAAUCAGAUGAGGUCCUAGAUCACCCUGGCGCAGGAGAAAAGACCUUAUUUCUUCACUUGUCAAAUACUUACCUGUCCAGCACAUUCUGUAAGGCACUAAAUCCUGGUUUCCACGCCUAUCUUUUAUUACUUUCAUUUCCUGAGAUUCUGAGAGGGCUGGUGGAAGCAGAAGCAAUGGUCUUAGUAGUGCAGAAUUUUGGAGCACAAUGUACUUCCUCCUCAAAUGUUCCUCAAAUGUCGCUUCGUCAGCUAGUGAUAAUUAGGAAAUUGUCAUCACUGCAACAAAAUGAAAAACCAAGUAAAAAGAAAGUGAAUUUUGCGUAAAGCGAAAUGUAUUUCCCAAAAGGAUAUCUGUCCUACUUUUCUAAUUUGGGGGGCAUAAAGCCUUUAUCCUUUUCUUUGCUGCCCUCCUUUCUUGUGACGGAAACGGGAAUGUCACUCCAAAAUAUGUCUCCCUGACAGAAAAAUUUAUUUUGAGCUGAAAGCAAUUGAGAAGCCGCAGAUGUCGGAAAAGCUCCCUCUUUGCUGCUUAAAGAGAGGGUAUGAAUUCUCCUGCUGGCAAUAGGCUUUUAGUGGCCCAGAGACAUCAGAGGGAUCUGCGAACAAACCUCACUCCUUUAAUGUCCUCCCAUAUAGUUACCUUCCCACUGUCUGCCGCUCUUGGAAGGCUAAAACUGCUUUCCUUUGUCCUACCAUUUCCCUAGAGAUUUUUCUUUUUUCUUUUUUUUUUUUUUUUUUUGGUCGAAGUUGCUAUAUAAGCUAGGGUUCUAAGCCACUGCUUUGAGUUCCUCUUCAUUUUGGAGUUCCUGUCGUGGCGCAGUGGAAAUGA